rnacentral:rRNA from 1 species
CUUGAACGCUGGCGGCAGGCCUAACACAUGCAAGUCGAACGAGUGGCGGACGGGUGAGUAAUGUAUGGGAAACUGCAUGAUGGAGGGGGAUCACUCACGGAAACGGUAGCUAAUACCGCAUAACAUCGGAUGGCCCCAGAUGGGAUUAGAUAGUAGGUGGGGUAAAGGCGCACCUAGGCGACGAUCCCUAGCUGGUCUGAGAGGAUGACCAGCCACACUGGAACUGAGACACGGUCCAGACUCCUACGGGAGGCAGCAGUGGGGAAUAUUGCACAAUGGGCGCAAGCCUGAUGCAGCCAUGCCGCGUGUAUUAAGAAGGCCUUCGGGUUGUAAAGUACUUUCAGCGUGGAGGCGUUACCCGCAGAAGAAGCACCGGCUAACUCCGUGCCAGCAGCCGCGGUAAUUC